rnacentral:lncRNA from 1 species
CGUGAUCAACCUGCCUCGGGCUCCCAAAGUGCUGGGAUUACAGGCGUGAGCCACCGCGCCCGGCCAGAAUGAGAUUUUUAACACGAGCAGGAAGCACUCCAUGUAAACCUACUGUUUAAUUGGAUAUUGUACUCAAAGGUGCUUCUCUAAAUGAGCCAGUGAAAACCCAAGUGGGCGUUGGAUAAUACUUAACAGAUAGGGUUGCAUAGUUUCAGUGUAACGGUGCCUCUGUGGGUUACAGCACCAUGGUCAAAACUGGAAAAAUAGUUUCUUAGAAACGAAUAAAGGCAAACUAUGGGAAAAUGGUCAUGGAAGGCUCUCUCACUAAGAAGAAGAAAACUCAGAAUGUCUUGUUAUUAGCAACAUAGAUCUCCAACUAAAGGGCUUACUCAUCCCUGCACUUGUGAUGUCUGCAUGGAGAUGAAACAGAGAUUCAAAAGGGUCAGGUCACUGGCUCCAGGUCAACUCUACUACUAAACAGAAAAGCAAGGACCAAAAUUCAGAUCUUUGUGACCCUCAAUGCCACUAUGCCAUGCGAUGAUGCCUGCCUCUUUUAGAGGCCAACUAAUAGGCCAACUUGAUUUUCUUGAGGAAUGGCCGAAUGGAAGUUGAAUGGUUGAAGGUGACUGGCAAACAGAGAAACAAGGCACCAAGAACUGGCUAUUUCCAAACGUGGGCAAUCAGCUUCUGAAUGAAUAGUUCAGAAUGAUGCAGCUCUGGAUGUUGGAAAGGACAAUUCCGGCGUUUUACUCUUCUGACCAGUUUCUUCGUUUUCAUAACUCUACUUGAAGAACAUAUGAUGUUUGCCAGUGUCUGACAUUACGGACCUCACAGCUUACUGAAUCUGAAAACAGGAGAUAGAGAUGGAAAGGAAAGCCUCAGGAACUUGUUGCAAUAGGGACUGCCAGGUCCCGUUGCACUAUUGGUGGAAGAGAGGUCCACACGGUGCCUACGAUAAGCGAUUUGUUCGUAUCUAUCCAGACUGCAGGUGCAUACAGCCACUCAUCCUCAAAUGCCAUCCUCAGGAGUUUAUGCUGCACACAGACUGGCACAUGUGCAGGAAGACAUAGUGCAGGGCUACGUGCUACAACAUUGUUGGUGACAGCAACAUAUUGGAAGCAACCUGAAUUUUUGUUAAUAGAGGAUUGGCUACAUAAAUGAUGCUAAUCUAUACAACUGGAGUACUAUGAUGCCAUAAAAAAGAAUGUACAAGGUCUUUACGUUUGGAAAGAUCUCUAAGAUAUAAUGAUUUUCUUUGCCUCUCAAGGGAGCUGGGAGAAACUCAAGUCUGAAACUCAAACUCAUCUCAGUCAUUCCUUUCCCUUCAACUAGACCUGAACCUCAGGAGAUCUGGAGUAUGUGCUGAAUUCUACUGGGAACUGAGCCCUCUGAAUAUUAUUAUUGUUUUGCUAAUACUUUUUGCUGGAAAGUACAUCAAACCAGGAUGUGUUGUACCUCUUGCUUUGCCAGACUAUUUAAAAGCAAAAGUGACCAGAUAUCCAACUUAAGGCUGAUCCAGGUUUUUCAUGAUCUAGCCAGGGGAGACAAACCUUCCAGGAAAGUCUCUAGCGAAGGCCAAGGAUUUUAGAAAGUAUCUGUGAACAAAGAAAUGCAAUGUUAGUGGGCUAAUUUCCAUAAUCAAAUGAAGCUGAUGCAAGUGCUUUGUGAAUUGAUGCCCAUCAACGAGAGACUGGAUAAAGAAAAUGUGGCACAUAUACGCCAUGGAAUACUAUGUAGCCGUAAAAAUGAACAAG